rnacentral:rRNA from 1 species
CCUACGGGAGGCAGCAGUGGGGAAUAUUGGACAAUGGGGGCAACCCUGAUCCAGCCAUGCCGCGUGUGUGAAGAAGGCCCUCGGGUUGUAAAGCACUUUCAGUGAGGAAGAACGCCUGGUGGUUAAUACCCAUCAGGAAAGACAUCACUCACAGAAGAAGCACCGGCUAACUCCGUGCCAGCAGCCGCGGUAAUACGGAGGGUGCGAGCGUUAAUCGGAAUUACUGGGCGUAAAGCGCGCGUAGGUGGCUUGAUAAGCCGGUUGUGAAAGCCCCGGGCUCAACCUGGGAACGGCAUCCGGAACUGUCAAUCUAGAGUGCAGGAGAGGAAGGUAGAAUUCCCGGUGUAGCGGUGAAAUGCGUAGAGAUCGGGAGGAAUACCAGUGGCGAAGGCGGCCUUCUGGACUGACACUGACACUGAGGUGCGAAAGCGUGGGUAGCAAACAGGAUUAGAUACCCGUGUAGUC